UGGGGAAUAUUGCACAAUGGGCGCAAGCCUGAUGCAGCCAUGCCGCGUGUAUGAAGAAGGCCUUCGGGUUGUAAAGUACUUUCAGCGGGGAGGAAGGUGUUGUGGUUAAUAACCACAGCAAUUGACGUUACCCGCAGAAGAAGCACCGGCUAACUCCGUGCCAGCAGCCGCGGUAAUACGGAGGGUGCAAGGGUUAAUCGGAAUUACUGGGCGUAAAGCGCACGCAGGCGGUCUGUCAAGUCGGAUGUGAAAUCCCCGGGCUCAACCUGGGAACUACAUCCGAAACUGGCAGGCUUGAGUCUUGUAGAGGGGGGUAGAAUUCCAGGUGUAGCGGUGAAAUGCGUAGAGAUCUGGAGGAAUACCGGUGGCGAAGGCGGCCCCCUGGACAAAGACUGACGCUCAGGUGCGAAAGCGUGGGGAGCAAACA
rnacentral:rRNA from 1 species